CCGCUGCAGCAGCGCAGGUACGAAACUUGGAAAGACACAGAGAAGGUCUAUUUCUUGUAUCUUCAAUACUAGCACAGCCUCUGCCCAAGGCUGACACGCACAUUCGUACUAAGGUCCCUAGUUUA
rnacentral:snRNA from 1 species